rnacentral:snRNA from 1 species
AUACUUACCUGGCAGGUGAGAUACCAUGAUCAUGUAGGUGGUUCACCCAGGGCGAGGCUCAGCCAUUGCACUGAGGCUGUCUGACCUCUGCGAAUUCCCCAAAUGUGGGAAUCUCAACUGCAUAAUUUCUGGUAGUGGGGGACUGCGUUCGCGCUCUCCCCUG